GGGCCGCCCCGCCUCGCCCCGCGGCGCUUCCCUUCCGCCGCGGAGGGCCGGGCGGCGAGGCCUGCGCGGGCCGCGGCGCGGCGCGCUGGCAGCGGAAGCCGGUUCUUGUUGUUACUCCCGGGUCUCGGCCGCCGGCAGCUGGUGGCGGAGCGCCCGCGGGGCCGGGGCCGGGGCCGGGGCCGGGGCCGGGGCCGGGGCCGGGGGCAGGCAGGCGCACGGCAUCUCGGCAGCAGGUUCCGGGCUGUGGGCGGUGGCGAUGGCCCUCGGCUCGCUCCGCCUCGGCUGGCGGCCGCACCGCGAGAGCGCAUCUCGGCGGUCGGGCCGCCUUGCGAGGAAAAACCUUGAGAAGGUAUGUUCUGAAUUACGAGAGGCCUGAAAAAAGUCUACUGCAAAGAGUGACUCACUUAUUCUAAUCCUUACCACAAAAAAAAAACAAGCCAAAGGAACCGCAGUGAAGAAUCCAAGUUUUAGUUAAUUAAGUCACACUAACUCUUUUAAGUGGAAAGAUGAAUAAUGUGUUAGCAACUAUCAGGUAAAAUGAUCUAUAACUUUUGAUGGCUAUCACAGUUAAGGAUAUCUUAACAACUUCUUGAAGAAAAAUGACCUCAUUUUGCAUUAGGAUACCACCGAUAUUCAUAAAAAUAGCCAGUCCUUUAAAAUCCUUCAGCACUCUUUGCUUCAAUAUCUGAAUCUAUCUGGAAACAUUUCCGAACAUGAGGAACACAGGAUCUUCGACAAAUUAUGUAUUCAAAAAUACUAGCUUUUCAGUCAAAUGUUCAGUACUCUUUUUAUUCCUUUGGAAUGCAGGGUCAAGCUCAGACGAGCUGUACCCAGCCCCGUGUACCUCUCCUCCCCUGUUUGCACGGAAAAGCAUACAUUCUCUGAAACUGAACAUUGCCUAAUAUUUGCAUUUCAGGUGGAGCCUUGAGCUGCCAAAUGGCACAUCAAUAUUGGAGAAAGUGACACUAAUUCCAAGGCAGUAGACUCCAUGUCCAUAUUUUUUGGUGUUCUGAGAAUGCUAAAAUUCUUCUAUUUAAGGGCUGUAAUUCUCCAGAUUCAAACAGUAAACAUUUAUCCUUUCCCCAAGGUUUUAACCAGGUAUGAAUGGUACCUAGAAGUCAGGAGUUGCAAAGGAAAGAAAAAAGGUGUCCAGUUAGCCUUGCACGAUCAAACUAAACAUAAAUGAAAGCAAAUUAUACUGAUUAUUUGUUUGUAUGGUGCAAGUAUUUUAAUGUUUAGAAAUGUUUAAUGUUCUGUCAUGAUGAGUUAUGUAAGAGAAUCUUCAUUUAGCAGCUCAGAUACAAAGAGCUACCUCCCUCUGUCCUUCUUCCCCAGUGUCAAAGGCAUUAGCAGCUCUAAAUUGCCAAUAAUUUCAGAGAUUUCCUAGGGAGUUUUAACUGAAUUUGGUAUAUGGUGACUCCGACACUAGCAGAGUUAAUUCUUGUGAGAAGGGGCAUUUAUUAUAAAAGCAUUAAGAGACAGCCUUUUGUGUAGGGACUCUACAGAAUCCUAGUAAGAAACCACAAAACAGUCUUUUCAUUGUCUUUCUAGAGGUAUUGGCCAUGGAACAAUUUGGCUCAUCAAAUACACUGUGUCAUCUUGAAAGAAACAAGGAGACAAUAUUUUCUUGGAAAGCAAAUACAAAAAAUGAUAUUAAAAAAAAUUCCAGGCAUUAUUUUUUUUUCUGAA